CUCAGUUCGGACUGUAGGCUGCAACUCGCCUACACGAAGUUGGAAUUGCUAGUAAUCGUGGAUCAGCAUGCCACGGUGAAUACGUUCCCGGGUCUUGUACACACCGCCCGUCACACCAUGGGAGCUGGUAACACCCGAAGUCAGUAGUCUAACCGCAAGGAGGACGCUGCCGAAGGUGGGAUUAGCGACUGGGGUGAAGUCGUAACAAGGUACC
rnacentral:rRNA from 1 species